AAAAUUGCCUUGGGUGACCUCCCACCCUGUGUCGUUAUACCUUUGUUGCUUUGGCGGGCCGCGGGGCUCCGGCCCUGCCCCUGGCUCCGGCUAGGGCGCGCCCGCCAGAGGAUCUCAAAACCUGAACGUUAGUGUCGUCUGAGUACUAUAUAAUAGUUAAAACUUUCAACAACGGAUCUCUUGGUUCUGGCAUCGAUGAAGAACGCAGCGAAAUGCGAUAAGUAAUGUGAAUUGCAGAAUUCAGUGAAUCAUCGAAUCUUUGAACGCACAUUGCGCCCCUUGGUAUUCCGGGGGGCAUGCCUGUUCGAGCGUCAUUACAACCCUCAAGCUCUGCUUGGUCUUGGGCGUCACCGGUCCCGGUGUGCCUUAAAAUCAGUGGCGGCGCCAUCUGGCUCUAAGCGUAGUACAUACUCUCGCUACAGACGUCCGGUGGAUGCUGGCCAGCAACCCCCAACUUAUCAAGGUUGACCUCGGAUCAGGUAGGGAUACCCGCUGAACUUAAGCAUAUCAAUAAGGCGGAGGAAA
rnacentral:rRNA from 1 species